CUCAGUUCAGAUUGCAGGCUGCAACCCGCCUGCAUGAAGUCGGAAUUGCUAGUAAUCGCGGAUCAGCAUGCCGCGGUGAAUACGUUCCCGGGCCUUGUACACACCGCCCGUCACACCAUGGGAGCCGGUAAUACCCGAAGUCAGUAGUCCAACCUCGUGAGGACGCUGCCGAAGGUAGGAUUGGCGACUGGGGUGAAGUCGUAACAAGGUACC
rnacentral:rRNA from 1 species